AUACGGAGGGUGCAAGCGUUGUUCGGAAUCACUGGGCGUAAAGGGCGCGUAGGCGGCCUGAUUAGUCAGAUGUGAAAGCCCACGGCUUAACCGUGGAAGUGCAUUUGAAACUGUCAGGCUUGAGUAUCAGAGGGGAAAGUGGAAUUCCCGGUGUAGAGGUGAAAUUCGUAGAUAUCGGGAGGAAUACCGGUGGCGAAGGCGACUUUCUGGCUGAAUACUGACGCUGAGGCGCGAAAGCGUGGGGAGCAAGCAGGAUUAGAAACCCUAGUAGUCC
rnacentral:rRNA from 1 species